AUUGGAAGCACGCGUAAAAAAAAAAAAAAGAAAACAAAAUAAAGUUGACGUGGCACUAUAAAUAUCCUCCUCGUCCGCGCAGGUAGUUCGUGGUCCCCUUCAGCUUCUCACUCAGGCUACCAUGGAACACAAAAGCCAGAGAGACCUUGCAACUUCAUCGCCAAAUCUUGUCCUGUACUCCUACUGGCAGAGUUCCUGCGCAUGGCGUGUCCGCUUUGCUCUAAACCUGAAAGGGCUUUCUUAUGAGUACAAAGCAGUGAACCUUGCAAAAGGAGAGCAGUUUUCUCCAGAGUUUGAACGAUUAAAUCCUCUUCAUUUUGUUCCGGUGUUGGUUGAUGGUGAUGUGGUGGUCUCAGACUCUUAUGCGAUAUUGCUGUAUUUGGAAGAAAAGUAUCCUCAAAAAGCAUUGUUGCCAGAUGAUCCUCAGCGAAGAGCUUUGAAUCUGCAGGCUGCCAGCAUCAUCAGCUCUAGCAUACAACCUCUUCAUAUGUUGUCAAUGCUGAAAUACUUUGAAGAAAAAAUGGGUCCUGACGAGGCAUUAUUAUGGGGUCAAUCUUGUGUAGAAAAAGGUUUCCUUGCUCUUGAGAGGUUGCUGAAAGAUUUUGCAGGCAGAUAUGCCACAGGAGAAGCAGUAUUUAUGGCUGAUGUGUUUCUGGCCCCACAAAUAGCUGUGGCUUUAAUGAGGUUCAAAAUUGAUAUGGUUUCUUUGUUACUAUGUGGUGCAUAGAUUGGAAGCACAUUACAUAAUUUAGCAUGAAUGACUCAUUAAAAUCACGAGUCUACAUCCCUAAAAAUAAAAUAAAAUAAGGGUGGAAAAAAUCUUUUAUGUAUGAGAGAGCUGUUAUUAUCAGGCUGCAUAUGAUUUUGCAAAAUAGUUACUGAGGGAAGCAAGAAGGCUGUUGGGUUUGUGGCUAAAAUGUCCAAGUUCCCAACUUUAGGUAGGAUAUAUGAAUCAUGCAAGGGCUUACCUGAGUUCGUAGGUUCACUACCACAAUCACAACCUGAUGCAGAGCAGUAAGUUUGGUUUUCACCUUAUUUACUGUUCCAUUAACGCUGCACAAUUGCAAAUGACAGCAAACAUUGUAAUACUAUUCAGCAUCCAAGAAUUGGGUUUGAAUAAUGAUAAAAUUUGCUUGGAUUUACAUUUCUCAUUCGAUGUAAUGGCUGUAAAAUUCUAUGGUAAGGAUAUGUGCAUUAAUCA